rnacentral:rRNA from 1 species
ACCGAUUGAAUGGCUCAGUGAGGCCUUCGGACUGGCUCAGGGAGGUCGGCAACGACCACCCAGAGCCGGAAAGUUGGACAAACUUGGUCAUUUAGAGGAAGUAAAAGUCGUAACAAGGUUUCCGUAGGUGAACCUGCGGAAGGAUCAUUACCAAAUCAUGUCUCCCGGCCGCAAGGCAGGUGCAGGCGUUUAACCCUUUGUGAACCAAAAAACCUUUCGCUUCGGCAGCAGCUCGGUUGGAGACAGCCUCUGUGUCAGCCUGCCGCUAGCACCAAUUAUCAAAACUUGCGGUUAGCAACAUUGUCUGAUUACCAAAUUUUCGAAUGAAAAUCAAAACUUUCAACAACGGAUCUCUUGGUUCCCGCAUCGAUGAAGAACGCAGCGAAACGCGAUAGUUAAUGUGAAUUGCAGAAUUCAGUGAAUCAUCGAGUCUUUGAACGCACAUUGCGCCCAUUGGUAUUCCAUUGGGCAUGUCUGUUUGAGCGUCAUUACAACCCUCGGUCACCACCGGUUUUGAGCGAGCAGGGUCUUCGGAUCCAGCUGGCUUUAAAGUUGUAAGCUCUGCUGGCUGCUCGGCCCAACCAGAACAUAGUAAAAUCAUGCUUGUUCAAGGUUCGCGGUCGAAGCGGUACGGCCUGAACAAUACCUACCACCUCUUAGGUUUGACCUCAGAUCAGACAAGGAUACCCGCUGAACUUAAGCAUAUCAAUAAGCGGAGGAAAAGAAACCAACAGGGAUUGCCUCAGUAACGGCGAGUGAAGCGGCAAAAGCUCAAAUUUGAAAUCUGGAGCCUUCGGCUUCCGAGUUGUAAUUUGAAGAGGGUGUUUCGGUUGCUGCCUUGGCCUAAGUUCCUUGGAACAGGAUGUCAUGGAGGGUGAGAAUCCCGUACAUGGCUGAAGGCUUGCUUCCAUGUGAAACCCCUUCGAAGAGUCGAGUUGUUUGGGAAUGCAGCUCAAAAUGGGUGGUAAAUUUCAUCUAAAGCUAAAUAUUGGCGGGAGACCGAUAGCGCACAAGUAGAGUGAUCGAAAGAUGAAAAGCACUUUGAAAAGAGAGUUAAACAGUACGUGAAAUUGUUGAAAGGGAAGCGCUUGCAAUCAGACUCGCUUUCGGUUGAUCAGCGACGCCUUCUGGCGCGUGCACUCUGCCGUUUGCGGGCCAGCAUCAGUUGGAGCGGUGGGACAAAGGCGGCAGGAAUGUGGCUCCCCUCGGGGAGUGUUAUAGCCUGUCGUGUCAUGCCACCAGCACCGACUGAGGUCCGCGGUUCGCCUAGGAUGCUGGCUUAAUGGUUGUAAGCGACCCGUCUUGAAACACGGACCAAGGAGUCUAACAUCUAUGCGAGUCUUUGGGUGUCAAACCCAUAGGCGUAAUGAAAGUGAACGGAGGUGGGAGUUUCGACGCACCAUCGACCGAUCCUGAUGUUCUCGGAUGGAUUUGAGUAGGAGCAUAGCUGUUGGGACCCGAAAGAUGGUGAACUAUGCCUGAAUAGGGUGAAGCCAGAGGAAACUCUGGUGGAGGCUCGCAGCGGUUCUGACGUGCAAAUCGAUCGUCAAAUUUGGGUAUAGGGGCGAAAGACUAAUCGAA